AUUGAACGCUGGCGGCAGGCCUAACACAUGCAAGUCGAACGAGUGGCGGACGGGUGAGUAAUGUCUGGGAAACUGCCUGAUGGAGGGGGAUAACUACUGGAAACGGUAGCUAAUACCGCAUACCAUCGGAUGAGCCCAGAUGGGAUUAGCUAGUAGGUGGGGUAAAGGCUCACCUAGGCGACGAUCCCUAGCUGGUCUGAGAGGAUGACCAUCCACACUGGAACUGAGACACGGCCACGACUCCUACGGGAGGCAGCAGUGGGGAAUAUUGCACAAUGGGCGCAAGCCUGAUGCAGCCAUGCCGCGUGUAUGAAGAAGGCCUUAGGGUUGUAAAGUACUUUCAGCGGGGAGGCGUUACCGACAGAAGAAGCACCGGCUAACUCCGUGCCAGCAGCCGCGGUAAUAC
rnacentral:rRNA from 1 species